UAGUUUAGUGUUUGACUAGGUGUUCUCUGGGCCAAGCUCUUUGUUAGUUUAGUGUUUGACUAGGUGUUCUCUGGGCCAAGCCCUUUGUUAGUUUAGUGUUUGACUAGGUGUUCUCUGGGCCAAGCCCUUUGUUAGUUUAGUGUUUGACUAGGUGUUCUCUGGGCUAAGCCCUUUGUUAGUUUAGUGUUUGACUAGGUGUUCUCUGGGCCAAGCCCUUUGUUAGUUUAGUGUUUGACUAGGUGUUCUCUGGGCCAAGCCCUUUGUUAGUUUAGUGUUUGACUAGGUGUUCUCUGGGCCAAGCCCUUUGUUAGUUUAGUGUUUGACUAGGUGUUCUCUGGGCUAAGCCCUUUGUUAGUUUAGUGUUUGACUAGGUGUUCUCUGGGCCAAGCCCUUUGUUAGUUUAGUGUUUGACUAGGUGUUCUCUGGGCCAAGCCCUUUGUUAGUUUAGUGUUUGACUAGGUGUUCUCUGGGCCAAGCCCUUUGUUAGUUUAGUGUUUGACUAGGUGUUCUCUGGGCUAAGCCCUUUGUUAGUUUAGUGUUUGACUAGGUGUUCUCUGGGCCAAGCCCUUUGUUAGUUUAGUGUUUGACUAGGUGUUCUCUGGGCCAAGCCCUUUGUUAGUUUAGUGUUUGACUAGGUGUUCUCUGGGCUAAGCCCUUUGUUAGUUUAGUGUUUGACUAGGUGUUCUCUGGGCCAAGCCCUUUGUUAGUUUAGUGUUUGACUAGGUGUUCUCUGGGCCAAGCCCUUUGUUAGUUUAGUGUUUAAGUCAGUACUUAGCUGUGCUGAAAGUGCAUUGGUACUAGCUCUGUUUGUUUACCUUCGCUGGUUCACUUUCUAAUGCUGCAGCACCAGUAGU